UAAACAAGCAUCUCUGAACUUGUCAACUCUUUCAAAGAAAGCCAUCUCAUAAUUACAGAUUAUACAUCUCUUUUCAUUGAGACGUCCUACAGUUUAUUCCAACAGUCAGAGAGAUGGAGACUAAGAUAGAGACAGAGAUAGAGACAAAAACAAAGAUAGAGAAAACGGGGUAGAAAUGGAAAGAAUAAGGAUAGUUGAAGGCAGAUGCCAUAGUUUCAGGGCAGCUCAUCUCUGCUACUGGAAAUUGGAGAUAGUGAGGUCCUUGCUAAUUAAUCUAUCAAUCAAUCAACCAUCUACCUUGAUUUCUGGGAUUUUCCUCAAUCGUUUCAGUGAACCUCCAGUGAUUCUCAAAAUACAAAUUAAUUUUCACAGAGAUCUGGAUACUAAAAUUAGAAAGAACCUCAGAUCAUUUAGUCUAGUUCUCAGCCUUUAGACAGAACAGGAAAUAUCACCACCAUUUUCCAAGGGAGGCAACUGAGGCAUAGAAAAGGGAAGGGAGUUGCUAAAAUCACUUUAAUUUUCCUUUUUAAACAAAUCAAUUUGGGCAAAUUCUCUUGAUGAUGUUUACAAGGCAGGCGUGAAGUUGAUGGUGACACACUUGUAACUAUCCAAGGAUUUCUGGGCUUACUGUUGCACACAGAGGCCUUCAUCUUUGCCAGAGAAAACUAUGAUUCGGAACUUCAUUUCUGCUUGCUGUGAUCUUUGUCCUAAAGUAUCAUCUCUUCAGUUCUGCUGCUGCUUCCCUAUGAAGCCCUCUUUGAUACACCCAACUAAAACUAGUCUUGCCCCUAUCAAUUUUCCCUAGAGCAUUUUGUCUAGAUUGAUCCUUUGCCCUUAUCAUCCUGAGCUUUGACCCCAUUUGGGAUUCUCCAGCUCAUUUUAUAGAAGAAAAACUGAAUUUGUUUGUAUAUAAACCUGUUCCCAUCCUUAAGUUGAAUGUAAUUUCCUUGAAAGACAGGAUAAUGAAGUUUGCUUGUUUUUCAGACUUCAUGUCCAUAGCUACCAGCACAGGGUAUAAUCAUUUACAUAGCUCCUUCUAUAUAUUUGGAAUUGUGCUAAGCCCUUUAUAUAUAUUUCAUGUGAUCUGAGAGUUGGGUGCUAUUAUAUUCCCCAUUUUAUAGAUGGGGAAACUAAAGUAUACUUGCAGAAGUUAAGUGACCUACCUAUAAUCACAUAGCUAGUAUCUGAGUCUGGAUUUUAACUUUAGUUCUUCCAAAUUCUAGAACUAGCAGUCUAUCCACUGAACUACCUGUUGUUUAGUCUAAUUCUUCAUGACCUCAUGAACCAUAACAGGCAUAACCAUAACAUUUAAAUGUCCAAGGUGGUUUUUUUUGGGAGGGGGAGGUGGGGGCAGAGAUACUGGAAUGGUUUGCAAUUUCCUUCUUCAGCUCAUUUUAUGAUGAAAAACUGAAGCAAAUCAGUUAAAUCACUUGUCCAGGGACACACAACCUGUAAGUGUCUAAAGCUAGAUUUGAAUUCAGAUCUUCCUUACUCAGGGCCUACAACUUUAUUUAGUCACCUAGCUGCCUCCUAGCUGAAACUCAUAGGUGCUUAAUAAGUGUCUGUUGAAUUGAAACAAAACUCUGUAUAGUGUGCCUGCCUCUGUGUCUGGACACAUGUAAUCCAUAUGUAACAUGUAACCCAAAUACCUGGUACUGCCUUUUCAUUUGGAGGGGAAGAGACAUUGUCUAGAUCUAUGAUUUCACUGGCAAAUGGUAUCUCCAAUAUGGAAAUGCCUUCCACCAAUGCAAAACAGCCACUUUUCUGAGUUUCCUGGUACAAUGAGAAGUUAAAUGACUUAUCCAAAGUCACUUGUUACAGAAUGUUGUCAAAACCAGAACUUGAACUCAGAUCUUUUUGACUUUGAGACUGGCCCUUUAAGGCUGUGCCAGUCUAUACGUAGACUUGGAUGGAUGGCUUUCCUGGGUUGAUGAAGAACAUUCUUCUCAGGGCCUGUGGUUUCACAAUGUGCAGAAUGAUCUGUAUCACCUUCAAAAGAUCAGUGAAUUCAUUGCUUUGGGAACUAUCAAUGCAAUGGUGGCCCCUCUCCUCCUUAGGAGACAGUUCCCAAGGACCUUGUGACUGAGCAAAUUUGUUUUCUGGCAACAGGCCUCUGAUGAGGAACCCUCCUAUUCUUAGUUGGACUUUUCCUCAGAGGACCAAGCAGGUCCAUCUUCGGAGACUCCCUAAGAUGCUAAGAACUUUGAGAAUUUGUGGUCACUUCUGUGCUAUGGGUAGAUAGACAACCAGCAGAAUCAUGAGGAAAUUGGGAGGGUUUUAAAAAAGGGAAGGGAUAGACCUGAUCUAGGAAGUCACACUAUGUUAGGGACUCAAGCCCAAGUUUAAUAUAUUCAGAGUUCUUGACAUUAGAUUAGACAUGUGCUGAUUCCAUUAGUAGUCAGCCCAGAGCUUGGGCUGGGAGGGGGCUGGGUGAUCUAUGGAUCCCCUCUUUAGCCCAGGAGAUGGUCAGAGUAUGGAAAUGCAAAGCUUCUCUGGGAACCUGCAGUCACUUUCCUCAGACUGACUUUUGAGUUGGGUUUGGCAAAGCAGGUUAGAGAUAAAUGGAAUCUUGGAUCUUGGAAUUCCAGACACAGUAAUUUUAUUGUAACAUAGGCCUCUUUGAGAUAAACAAUGCCUGAAGGAGAACCAUAUGGGAGACAUUUCUUCUAGAGCUUGUUGGAGUAAGUUCAGACAGGGGAAGCGUAGGGCCACUUUUGUUCUUCACUGCCCACUCUCAACUCCAGGAAAGAUCCCAACCUUAUUUAGAUAAAUGAAUGGAGGAACAGCCAAUUUUUAUCAUGAAGGUUUUUUGUUUUUCUUUUUUCUCUGGAUCUCAUUUGUAUCUAUCUAUUGUCUCUCCUCUCCAUCUCUCUUUGUAUCCCUUCUGGGGGAUUCUCUUGAUUAUAUGAGAAGCUUAGGCCUAGAUGACAACCUAGUGGGGAUGCUGAGCCAGGGCUGAUCAUGGCAUUCAAGACCCUGGAGCUAACCUUUCCUCUUCUGGAGGGGAUGGGCUGAGUUUCUGAUCUGUGCCUAUUAUCCUACUCAGUCUUGAGAACAGUCUGUCUCGGGGUCUCUGAAGAGGAACUUUUGACUCACUGCACAGAAGUGGGGGCUGGGAGACUGGGGAAAAAGUGGGGAAAAAGGCUGGGGCAGUGGCCCGGGUAUCAUGGGAGGAAGGCCUGAUUAGAUUGGUUCCGGAUUGGGGGUAGAGGCACUGCUAGGAAGUGGAAGGACAUAGGUUGGAGGUGA